UACGAAGGGGGCUAGCGUUGCUCGGAAUCACUGGGCGUAAAGCGCACGUAGGCGGAUGUGUCAGUCAGGGGUGAAAUCCCGGAGCUCAACUUCGGAACUGCCUUUGAUACAGCACGUCUUGAGUCCGAUAGAGGUGGGUGGAAUUCCUAGUGUAGAGGUGAAAUUCGUAGAUAUUAGGAAGAACACCGGUGGCGAAGGCGGCCCACUGGCCUGGUAUUGACGCUGAGGUGCGAAAGCGUGGGGAGCAAACAGG
rnacentral:rRNA from 1 species